ACUUAUUUCAAGAUGGCUGCUUCUUUCCACUCUCUUCACUCCCUGAAGCAGAGGCUAUUUAUUUCACUCCCUGGGAGCAGAGGCUAUUUUUCUCCAGUCUUCACUGGGAAAACCCGGUGGGGUUCCUGAAUGUAAAACUCACAAAAGUGUAAGUGCCCCCAUACCACUGAGUCUACAAGGGUGUGUAACUCUCAAGCUAGUUCACAGGCAGCCUCCAGCAAUGUUUCAUUUACUGUUUAAGUGUUCCUACCUCUUUAUAACUUUGUAGCUCUAGUGGAUUCUGAUGCUGGCAAGCUGUAAUGAAUGCUCUGUAUUCACAUGUUUUGCCAGUUUUCAGGGCAGUGAUUUGCCCUGUGACCUCAAUUCUCUGAUGGAUCCCGGAAGAGUUGUUUAUUUUUAAUUUGUUCAGCUUUCUUCUUUUAGGAGAACUGGAGAUGACUUUCAAGAUCUGUAUGUGUUGGAGCUAGAAUCAGAAGUUAAUAGAAUAUUCUGUAAAACAGAAGCAGAACCUCAGGAGAUAAAAAAGAAGGCUACAGUGGAGAAAUUUAAGAACAUGUCUUUCCCCCACCAGGCAAUAAGAUGUGCUACUGGCAGAGCUGUGAAGAUUAAAUGGAAUGAAUUUGCAUAUGCAAAAGCACACAGACAGGGUUCUAAGCAAAGCCAUCUUGCUAGCCACAGUUUCUGAAUCUCCAGUGUUGGCAUGUCCAGAAGAGAAAGGGGAACAAGAUGUUUUUACUGGAACAAUAUUUAGCAGGAAUUGUGCAUUUGGGUAAAGCAGGUACUGACCCCAGAUUUCCAUGCAUUAAUUCUUUCAAAUACAGAAAAUCUACGUAUGAAGAAAUAAGGGAUAAGGAAGAUGAAAAUGAGGCUGUUCCUUUAGUCUGAGUCCUUGUAAAGAAGGCAUGGAGCAGAACUAAAGCCAACUCUCAGGUAUCAUGCCUCUGAACCAAAAUAAAUGUGAGACAUCAUCUGCCAUUGACAUCCAGCUGUGGACAUCAUCAUGACUCAGUGAUCCAGGACCACCCCAAGCAGAUGAUCCUCCCUCUGACAUAUUAUCAGAAGCCUCCUCAAACUCAUGCUUCAUACCCAAGAAAAGUGAUUUCUUCAAAGACAGAAAUGUGGUCGUAUAACUGCCCUGCUUUACUCCAUUGUUCUCUUGCUGCCCAAGAACAUUGUCCUCAUUCUGCAGGAUGAGGUAGGAAGCCCAGUUUCUGACUUUGGUUUACCUCUGAAUUCUUCUUUUCUACUGUGGUCCUAUCAUGAUAAGAUGAUAAAUAUAUAACAUUUGAUACAUGUUAAAAAUGAAUUUAAUUAAAAAAUAGGAAAAAUAAUAUAUUAUCUUGGGUAAACAUCACAGUUCUUAGAAACAGUAAUUUGAAAGCUGGAUACUUUUGAAAACUAUGUAAGGUCAAUCCUCAUUAUAUGUGUGUGUAUUAGCUAUUAUUAAGCAGUUUAUUACAAAGUGUCUAAACCAAAAAAAAAGAAUAGGAUUGAUUUGAAGCCUAGAUAGAAAAUAACAGGAAAAACUAAUUUGGGAAAAUAUUAUUCAUCUUAGAGUCCAAACAAAUUUGGUUUUGACUAAAGAGCAACACAUUUACUCCUAAUUUUUGAUUGAGGAAUUAUGUAAUAUGACUACUGGACAAAGAUAGUUCCAUUACUUUGGCCACCGUCAUCAGUGACUUAGGAGGUUUUUCUAAUUUAAACCUUUCUUUUUAAAGAGCUUCAUAAUUCUACUUGCGAAUAAUUUAUUUUCAUUUACUGACUGCAUUUACAGGUGAUUGAAAUCUGGAGAUUAAAUAUCAGUGUUUGGCUGGCCUAUAUAAAUUGUGUCAUCUGCAUAAAACUUAGCAACAUAGAGAUGAUAAACAAUUCUAUAUUUAAAAUGUUGAUGUUUUGAUAUGACCUAUGAUGGCAGUCCCCCUUUAUUGAGCUUCAUCUAGGUGGCAGUUUCAUUAAAACGUAUAAAUGCUGCAUUUUCCACCUAGGAAAGUGCAAGUUUUAGGACUGUGCUCCAUUCUCAUUAAAAUGUUUAAAAUAACUCUGUGCUGUGAACCCUAGGCAGUAACACCAGAAGCUGAUAGGGAAGCAUGAGUUCAUACACAAUGUCUAAGUUUCUUUUAUAAAUUGCUUUGGAAGACAUUCAAUGCCAUAUGAUAUAGUCAAUUUUUCUCUGAAUGUGAAAAUACUAAGUUGAAGUAAAUGCUCUUUUAAAAUUUUGAUAUUAAAUUGCUGAACUGCCUCCUAUAGAGUUUGUGCUGGUACUCACUAUGUGUAUGAGACUAUGUCUUUACCCAUAACCUUAUAAAGUCUGACUUAGAAAUUAUCAAUAGUUCAAAUCUUUGCUAAUCUGGUAAGUGAAAAAUAUAAUCCUGUUUUAAUUUUUCUAAUCACUAGUGAAGCCAACAAAACUUUGAAGAAAAGUCAUAUUUAUUGACUUUUUAGGUGUACAGUUUGAUGUAUUUUGUAAAAUGUAUACAGUUGUAUACAACCAACGCCACAAUCAAGAUAGAGAACAUCUUCACUAUUUUGCACCUUUGUAUCCAAUUUUCUGCCUCCUCUCCAGUCACUGGCAACCUUUGACCCACAGUGCUUACAAAGAUCUUGAGAGAAAUAAAGUGUAGCAUGUCGGGGUCAUCAAAAUGGAUUUCCUUUCUCUUUGUGAUCUUAUCAAGUCUUGAUUACCUUAGCAGCUUUGUGGUGUUUUGGGAAUUUUGUAUUUCACCUAGGUUUUCUAAUGGUUUCUUGGUGAAUUUGUCUGAUACUAUAUAGGGCAUGCUUUGUUAUCAGGUUAGUUCCCUACUCCUAGUGCCAAUUUUUGUAUUAAGACAUGUUUUGGUGUGAUUAGAAACACUCUCUAGAUUGAAGUGGCUUAUCACAACAAAUAAAAAUUUAUUUCUCCCCAUGGCUACAUGUCUGUCGUGGGUUGCAUGGAAAGUUAGUCUGCUACCCAUGCUUGCUCAGGCAUCCCAGGCAAUAGAGGCCCUUCCAACUUUGGAGUUAUAUUUUUUUUGGAAUGCAAGUCUUCCUUACUUGUCAUCAUGGGAAUAAGAGAUUUAUUUAGGCUCUUAUCUCUACUUUUCUAUGUUUUAGCCAAUACUUCUGUUCAUGGCCUAUUACCACAGCUAGUUACCUGGUAGUAUCUGAAAAAAGGGUGGCUAAUAUACUCUUGUCCUCUUGGAGGGAGAAGAAAACUGACAGCUACCAUGGAAACUGAUGUUUACUGAGAGUUUACCAUAUGCCAUGCAUAGGAGACUCAUGUAUUAUUUCUGUUCUUAAAAGAAUCGUAUGGAAUAGACAUUAAUAAUCUACUUUUUAACAUGAGAAACUGAGGAUUAUGCCUUUUUGGUGUUUGUCUGUAUCAAAACACCACCAGUUUUGGUACAAUCAAGAUUUGAAUCCAGGGUGUCUCCUAUUUGAAAGUCGGUUCUUUUCCCACCAGGAAAUAAAUUAUUCAUGUAAUAAAUAUUUACUGACUUACAUAAAUACGUUAUAGUAGAUGGCAUAGUCUUAGUUUCUUUUCAGAAAAUACUACUGCUGCUGGAAAACUUCCUCUUUAGUGAAAAAUGUCAACAAAGAAUCUGUCGUCUCUCAUCUAUGACAUGAACUACUAGCUCAUGGGAACUGAAUUCUGGAACGAGUUACUUGUUUUCAAAAUUUACCCUGAUGUCUGUCACUGUGGAAGAUAAAACCACUUUUUGUAGAAAGAUUUUAUAGACUUAAAAGGUAGGAGCUGUAAAAUAUAAGCAAAAUAGACAUGCUCUGUGGGUAACUGUGACAUAUUUCAUAUUAGAUUUUCAAUAUAAAUAGUACCAUAGAGCAGCAAACUAUGACUGGCACAUUACAUGUUUUUAAUCAUUAAAAGACGGGAGGUUUUGGUCUCAGAGAAAUUAACCUUGGAAGAAGAUACAUUGUGCCUAGUGCUAUACAUUUUGAGUAAAGUAGGAAAUUGUGUCUGAGGAAAACCUGACCCGGAGAAAUCAUACCUCGUUUUCUCGGGUGUAUGGGAGAGAUGUGUCCUGACAGUAGAAAAGAAGGUAAUUUUGGAGGCUGUACUGCUGCUGCUUAAACAUUUCUUACUUAUGUGGAAGAUUACUUGUUAUUGUGGCAAACUCUGAAAUACAAAAUUAUGAUGUAGAGUAGAUGUGCAUUUGUUGGGGUGGAGGGAGUGUCUACCAUGAGCCAGAGGUGGUGCCAAGUAUUCUACAUACAGUUUCUUAUACGAAAUGGGAGUGUCGAAAAAAUGAGUCCAAUACUACAAAUCAUUUUUACCAUUACGCAAACCAAUGAUGUCAGCAACUACAGGAUUGUGGAAAAUUUAGGAUUAAGAAAGUUGAGGGGAGUUGUUUUGGAAUUUAAUAAAAUGUCAAAAGAGUUCUUGGGGAGGAAAAAUUGGAAAUCAAUGUUGCUCUGACCCCUCUAGGCCAGCAAGAAAAAGAUGAGUAUUUUGGAGUUAACUAGCCUGUUGAGAAUGGGAGUCUGUGAUUUUCAAGAGAUUAUAUAACCAUGUAUUUACCCAAAAUCUUUGCAAAUAUUACCUCCUUAGAUGGCUGUGAUUUUCUUGAUAAUUUUGUGAUCCCAUUGCUUCCUUUUGGUUCUUUACACUGGUUGCAGCAGAGGACUGCUGUCAAUAAGACCAUAAUUUGUCUUUUGAACCAAACUUGCAUUACAGUUCUCUUUGCUUGACACCAGCUAUCGAUUGCAACCUGAAGUGUUCACCCCUUCUUUUCUAAGUUCAUUGCUUUCUGUUGUUAACGAGGCUAAAUUCCAUUCCGUUCCUUGUGCACAAUGCUCAGUGACAUACUAAACACUGGGUUUUUCUUCAUAAUAUUGUAUUAUGCAAUUACCUGACCUAUACUGUUCAGUCAUUAAUGGAUUACACAUGUAGAGAAAGUGUAAAGUUCACUGUGAAUUAUUUUAAUUGAAAUGUAGUUGAUUUACAGUAUUAUAUUUCAGGUGUACAACUUAGUGAUUCCCUAGCUUACCACAUUAUGCAUGAUACAAAAUUUUUAUAAUAUUAGUGACCACAAUCCUUGUGCUAUACUUACUUGAUAACUUGAUAACUGUAUCUCUUAAUCCACUUCACCUAUUUUGCACAACCCCCUCUACCUGGAAAUGAAUAGUUUGUUUUCUGUAUCUGUUUCUGUCCUGUUAAGUUUGUUUGCACUUUU